UCCCAGACAGACUGACAGGCCGACUAAAGCCAAACAGGCAUCUCAUGUUCAGCUAUGAAUAACUACAGCUAGAUAUAAAUAACACACCCAACUAUAAACCUGCCAGCAUUACAUACUUGUGGGAAAUUAUGAGGCUGUGGACUCUUCCCGUCUUUCUUAAUUCAAACUUUUUUCUUACCAGUAAAUUGCCAGUAAAUCGGCUGAGAGAGACCACAAGGGCUACUCCACGCCAAUAGGAGGGGAAUGAGGGGAACCUUUGAGGAGUCUGACUCACAGUGGAUGGCUGAAAACUGCCAAGUCAUGAUGACAGCCAGGUGUGGUCAACAUACAAAGAAGAUGACCCGAGGCUGCUACGGUUUCCGUUAUGUUGAAACAAAACUGAUGCUGCUGCUGAUGAUGACAGAGAUGAAAAGUAGCCUAUAUUAAAGUUCCCUUUUCCCUCUGUCCCAGGUCCAGUUCUUCCUGAAGCCCCUGACAGAUCCAGUUUGACGGACCUGUGCCUCUAAUAAGUGAUACUCUGCAAAUAUUUAACCAUGUCCUCCAUGACAUUGCUAUGGUGACAUGCCAAACAUUGCACACAUAAGCGGGCACCGGUUCAACAGUUACUUAGCAACAGCCUUGGGGCAGGUUUGUAGAGCUAACAUGGCUGCCCGCCACAGAAAUGUGAUGAGACCAAGCUGCUCAUGUCUCUGAAUUUACCAGGUGAUUCAUCAGGAUAGAGAAAGAGAUAGAGGGAUAGGAGGGAGGAGGGAAAGUAAGUCAGUGAGUCAGUGAUUUAAUUUGGUUGUCAGCCCAUGUUGACUUUAUGGACGGGGAAAGUACCUGUCUAUCCAAAUAUACAUAUAAUAUAUACAUAUAUAUAUAUAUAUAUGUUUAGGCAGGUACACAGUGUCUCCACUUUAUCUUGCAUAUGUCAUGUAACAGAUAAUGAUGUUUCUGUGCACUUUGGAAAUCAUGCACUGCACCACAAUGCACUGUGAACGUGCAUACACAUAUGUUACUAUGAGGGUCAUUUGACUUGACACUAUUCAAAGGUUCAAUAACCCUGAGAGGACAGGAUUUGUGGCUAAAGUCACUGUGCAAACAGCGUUGCUUUCAGGCAGUUGAGGUGUUGCUGCAAAUGCUGUAUGGCAUGUGAAAGUGAAUCUUGUUUCACCGAGCAAUGUUACUUGGAUCACUAUGGAGCACUAUGCACAAUGUUUCUCUUGACUUCUGCAACUUUAUUUGUGUUAUUGUUAUGUUUAGCUGAGAGAAAUGUAUCAAGAGAAAAAUAAGCCAGAGGUAGCACAGAGGUUCAUUUUCCUGUAUGCUAUGGCAUGGUGCUGAAGACUUGAGAGAAACCUACACAUGUUGUAACAGUAAGUCAGUCAGUCUAUAUGCUGAGUAAAUUAUCAGCACCAUUACCAGGAAGCUGGCAGGUCGA